UCGGGAAUCUUGCACAAUGGGCGAAAGCCUGAUGCAGCAACGCCGUGUGAGCGAGGAAGGCCUUAGGGUCGUAAAGCUCUGUUGUUGGGGACGAAGGGCGAAGGGUUAAUAGCCUCUAGCCUGACGGUACCCUUCGAGGAAGCCCCGGCUAACUACGUGCCAGCAGCCGCGGUAAUACGUAGGGGGCGAGCGUUGUCCGGAAUUAUUGGGCGUAAAGAGCGUGUAGGCGGCCUGGUAAGUCUGCCGUGAAAACCUGGGGCUCAACCCUGGGCGUGCGGUGGAUACUGCUAGGCUAGAGGAUGGUAGAGGCGAGUGGAAUUCCCGGUGUAGCGGUGAAAUUCGUAGAUAUUCGGAAGAACACCAGUGGCGAAGGCGACUGUCUGGCACAUUUCUGACGCUGAGGUGCGAAAGCGUGGGGAGCAAACAGGAUUAGAUACCCCUGUAGUCC
rnacentral:rRNA from 1 species